rnacentral:tRNA from 2 species
GUGCCCAUGGUGUAGUGGUAACACAGCAGGUUGUGGUCCUGUUAUUUCGGGUCCGAUUCCCGAUGGGCACCCCA